GUUCAGGCUCACGACCUCAUAUCACAGAAAUGAACUCAAAGGAAAAUGACUAAUCACCGACCUACUCAGAAUCAUUGGUCCCCGGCAAGCAAGGGUGAUCCUGCAUCAAUCUAUUAAUUUUCAUUUCCAGGGUUCUCAGAUGUAAAACAAAUGUUUGAUGUAAUCCGCAACACUGCUCUGUUAUAAUUAAACAACCUCCUACUGCCUAAAUUGGCAAAGCACUCCAUCGAUCAGUGAUAAAUGUGGUCCUUGGGAGACUGCUUUUAUGUUUGUUUCACUCAUGGGAAAAUGGCCACAACCCUUUUGUAAGAUUCCUCGGCUGCUGCUCUCCCCAGGUUACAAUCAUAGUAACUGCUGCUUCUGGGAUGCCUCGCUGUAAUCCUCAUGUUCAAUGAUGGCUCAAUGGAUAUGUGCUUGAA
rnacentral:lncRNA from 1 species